UACGAAGGGGGCUAGCGUUGUUCGGAUUUACUGGGCGUAAAGCGCACGUAGGCGGAUCGUUAAGUGAGGGGUGAAAUCCCAGGGCUCAACCCUGGAACUGCCUUUAAUACUGGGUAUCUCGAGUCCGAGAGAGGUGAGUGGAAUUCCGAGUGUAGAGGUGAAAUUCGUAGAUAUUCGGAGGAACACCAGUGGCGAAGGCGGCUCACUGGCUCGGUACUGACGCUGAGGUGCGAAAGCAUGGGGAGCGAACGGG
rnacentral:rRNA from 1 species